rnacentral:misc_RNA from 1 species
GAUGAAGAACGCAGCGAAAUGCGAUAAGUAGUGUGAAUUGCAGAAUUCAGUGAAUCAUCGAAUCUUUGAACGCACAUUGCGCCCCAUGGUAUUCCGUGGGGCAUGCCUGUUCGACCGUCAUUUACCCCCUCAAGCUCCGCUUGGUGUUGGGCGUCUGUCCCGCUUCGCGCGCGGACUCGCCCCAAAGGUAUUGGCAGCGGUCGUGCCAGCUUCUCGCGCAGCACAUUGCGCUUCUCGAGGCACCGGUGGGCCCGCGUCCAUCAAGCUCACCCCCCCAGUUUGACCUCGGAUCAGGUAGGGAUACCCGCUGAACUUAAGCAUAUCAAUAAGCGGAGGA